AUUCAGGACAAGAGAGAGGUCGACUAUAUGUGAGAGCUGAGAUCUGCAGUCUUUGUAUUUACUUUCAAGCAAGACUGAGAAGCCCCAUGUUGCCUGCAUUACCCGGACAGGUCCUCUACUAAUGACUGAGUUUAGUGUACAUUAUUUUCUUACAUUUGUCUUGUUUUUUUUUCCUUCUUCAUUUUUUUUUUAAAUUAUGAAUUUUAUUAAUUCUUGCUAUUAUUUUGUUGCCAUUUUCAGCCUGAUUUAUUUUUCAAAAACACACAUUUAUACCCUAUCAUCAAUUUCAUUUUUUUUUCCCA